CUCCAACCUCCUACUCUUGCCUUCACAAGGUGUGGAAAAUAAUACACAGCAAGCAAAUGCCACUCUCAUAAUCUUUCCUUUUUAGACAAGUUUAUUAAAUAUUGAAAAUGCUGUCUCGAGUGUGACUUCUAUAAACUCAACUCGGCACAAUAAAUUUGACAUCACAUUGGAUGAAGAAAUUCCUAUUGGGAAGAGGAUUGGAGUAUGCCAGGCAACAGAUGAUGAUAACCUGGGGGAUUUAACCUUUGAACUUGAUCCAAGGAAUGAUUACUUUGCAGUUGACAAAGGUUGCUAAAAACCUGGACUAUGAAGACCCAGAGAUAAUUGCAGCUGGACAUACCUAUGAAAUGAUGAUUUCAGUAUUUGAUGACCUACGUCCUUCCCAUACAGAUUUGAGCCUUUCCCCAAUACUGAAGAGGAAAGGCAUUUCUCACA